AUUGAACGCUGGCGGCAUGCCUUACACAUGCAAGUCGAACGGCAGCACGGGAGCAAUCCUGGUGGCGAGUGGCGAACGGGUGAGUAAUAUAUCGGAACGUGCCCGGUCGUGGGGAUAACGUAGCGAAAGCUACGCUAAUACCGCAUACGAUCUACGGAUGAAAGCGGGGGAUCGCAAGACCUCGCGCGAUUGGAGCGGCCGAUAUCAGAUUAGGUAGUUGGUGAGGUAAAGGCUCACCAAGCCGACGAUCUGUAGCUGGUCUGAGAGGACGACCAGCCACACUGGGACUGAGACACGGCCCAGACUCCUACGGGAGGCAGCAGUGGGGAAUUUUGGACAAUGGGCGCAAGCCUGAUCCAGCAAAUGCCGCGUGCAGGAUGAAGGCCU
rnacentral:rRNA from 1 species